rnacentral:sRNA from 1 species
CGGCAAUUGGAGGGGGGGGCUGUAUAUCGGAGGGCAACAGAGACGACAGACUCAAAGCUGACGCCAGAGAAAGCGUUUGCCAAAUACUAUGAGCGUGCCUGCGAUAGACUAGAAACAACCAAGGAUGUGCUCAAGAAUCGCCGAUUAAAGCUGGAUAUUCUAAAUACAGCAGAGUUGAUGGCGGGCAACACUCCUCUUUUCUUUGCUGUAGAACAGGGGCAAGAGCAUAUUUGCUAUUUCCUGUUGGCUCAUUUGUGCGAUCCAGACCAGGAAAACCUCAGCGGGCCUUCCCCCAAAUCGUUUCACUACGAAUAUGCUCGCAUUUUGAGGAUUAAUUUGAAAAUAUCCCGCGUGAUGGAUAAAGUCAUUGGCAUAUUAAAUGGAUGAAGAUAAAUGUACAUUACAUCGAAAAUUAAAUAUGUUUAGCCCCAGUUUA